rnacentral:rRNA from 1 species
CAGCUUGCUGCUUUGCUGACGAGUGGCGGACGGGUGAGUAAUGUCUGGGAAACUGCCUGAUGGAGGGGGAUAACUACUGGAAACGGUAGCUAAUACCGCAUAACGUCGCAAGACCAAAGAGGGGGACCUUAGGGCCUCUUGCCAUCGGAUGUGCCCAGAUGGGAUUAGCUAGUAGGUGGGGUAACGGCUCACCUAGGCGACGAUCCCUAGCUGGUCUGAGAGGAUGACCAGCCACACUGGAACUGAGACACGGUCCAGACUCCUACGGGAGGCAGCAGUGGGGAAUAUUGCACAAUGGGCGCAAGCCUGAUGCAGCCAUGCCGCGUGUAUGAAGAAGGCCUUCGGGUUGUAAAGUACUUUCAGCGGGGAGGAAGGGAGUAAAGUUAAUACCUUUGCUCAUUGACGUUACCCGCAGAAGAAGCACCGGCUAACUCCGUGCCAGCAGCCGCGGUAAUACGGAGGGUGCAAGCGUUAAUCGGAAUUACUGGGCGUAAAGCGCACGCAGGCGGUUUGUUAAGUCAGAUGUGAAAUCCCCGGGCUCAACCUGGGAACUGCAUCUGAUACUGGCAAGCUUGAGUCUCGUAGAGGGGGGUAGAAUUCCAGGUGUAGCGGUGAAAUGCGUAGAGAUCUGGAGGAAUACCGGUGGCGAAGGCGGCCCCCUGGACGAAGACUGACGCUCAGGUGCGAAAGCGUGGGGAGCAA